rnacentral:rRNA from 1 species
UGCCAGCAGCCGCGGUAAUACGGAGGGGGUUAGCGUUGUUCGGAAUUACUGGGCGUAAAGCGCACGUAGGCGGAUUAGAAAGUUAGAGGUGAAAUCCCGGGGCUCAACCCCGGAACUGCCUUUAAAACUACUAGUCUAGAGUUCGAGAGAGGUGAGUGGAAUUCCGAGUGUAGAGGUGAAAUUCGUAGAUAUUCGGAGGAACACCAGUGGCGAAGGCGGCUCACUGGCUCGAUACUGACGCUGGGGAGAGAAGGUGGGAAAAGCAAACAGGUUUAGUUC